rnacentral:piRNA from 1 species
UGCUGUUCUAGAAAUGGAAUCUUAACAGA